rnacentral:lncRNA from 1 species
AAUGUGCACAGGGGUGCCAGGGGCCUGGAGGAGAGCCUCCCCUCAUUGUGCUCUCACAGGCAGAUGGAGUGGAGGUCGCUGGUGGGGCCGACCCUGUCACCCACCCUAUGGGGGAGAUAGCUCCAUGAGGCAAUCCUGCCUCGCUCAGGCAGAGUGGAGAGAUGGCAGGGGGAAGAUGCUUGCAUCUUCCUGGGAACGAGGGAAGACACGCAGGAGUGCUUUACAGGACAUAAACUAUUAUGGAUAAAGAGCUAGAUCUCAGAUGCUGGAUCCCAGGCUGAAGACCCAGUGAGCACUGUGCUGGGCCAGGCCGUGCGCCCUGCAAACUUCACAGGAGACAAAAGCCCAGGUCUUAACCUCUGCACGAAGAGCAUCCUAACUCCUGCUAACACGUCGCUGGCCUUGCCGGCUUCUGACACACUGCCAAGUUUUCUAGCAGCAACAGCGAGCCAGUGCAUCUGGAGGGGCUGCUCCGCGGCCUUGCGCUCACUUGUCCUGCACUUCGCUUCCUGGAGUAACCUCAGAAGAUGCAACAUCUCCAUUUUUCAUCCACUCCUAUGGGGAAAAUGCCAGGUCUGCGAUGCGUGAUUCUACCGGACAUCGGGUAUAAUAAAAACACCUGGUCCCUUAGAGCACGGUGUCCACCACAUGGGAGCGUGAGGAACAGACCAGUGGAUCACAGACACCGAGGGUGUUUGCAUUUGGGGUGGUUUUCUGCCGCUAUACUGAG